GCCCUCAUAGUCUAAGGGUUAGGACGCUGGCCUCUCACGCCGGUAAUAGGGGUUCGAAUCCCCUUGGGGGUACCA
rnacentral:tRNA from 2 species